UUAGUAUCUACAUAGCCUUUAUUUGUCAACCUCGCGUCCUUUCAAAAUCAUCGAUUGAGGUUGAUUAACAACAACCAUCGCACAACUUUCCACUAUUCCCUUUAUUAUCUCUUUUUUUCUUUUGAUUUUCUAUUUUAUCAUAUGUUUAUGUCUAUGUAACUGAUUAUAUAUGAGCUGAUGUGUAUUUUGAACAACUAUGAAUUUGGGGAGAAAAAGCCGGAAGGAAAUAGAGAUCAACAUAUGAAGAUAGGCCAAUCGUGAUUGAUUUUGAGGUUGAUCUUAUAAAGCUAAAGCCUUCAACAUAUCAAGGUUAGCAUAUUUUUGGGUUUUUAUAGUGAUCUAUUGUUAUGCCCGAUUUCAGUUUUUUCAGGUUUUAUUGUGAGGUUGUUCAUCUUAUAAAAUUGAAGCCUUCACCAACCACCACUGUCGAACCACUCACCACCUUCAAGACCAUCACCAUCGCUAUUCUAGAAGGUUUUGGAGGUGGUGAUGUUUGUGGUGUGUAGCGUGGUUGAGCCAGCGACACCAUUAGUCUGUGUAGUACUAGAUUAAUCAGAUAAUGGCGGAUAUAGAUAAAGAUGGAAGUUGUGCAAAUGAUUUUAAUGGUAUCAAAAGAUCAUUUCGCUUUGUCAGUUCUAUGGUGAAAAAAGAUAUGGUUAAAGAAUAUUUGGAUCGUGGGAAUGUUGAAUCAAAUAAUGGAGAAUUUAAAAGUAACAUCAAGUCACUUCUUUUACAAUUUUGUUCAAGAAAGUUUACAGAUCUCCACCUUUACGAUGAAAUUGAUAUUCUGUCAAGAAUUGUUGAGACCUUAGUUUAUGGGUUUUCCUUAUUUACAUUAUGUGUGAGUUGUGUAUAACAAUUUCCAUAUGAAAAUUCUUUAUUUA